rnacentral:misc_RNA from 1 species
AGGAGGGAGAGGUGGGAGAAGAGGAGGGGGUAGAUCAAAUCAUUACAGAAAAGAUCAAGCCAUGAAAAAACACUUCUCAGGUUUGACAGGCCAUUGAUAUGGAAGCUUCCUUUACAAAUUGUUGAUAAGCCACCAGAAAAAAAAAAGAUAUUACCUUUUAGUUACCUUACAGAGUUAUUUCAGUUGGAUUUUAUGUUCAUCAAAUAUACUUUAGUAUAUACCAUGGCUCAAAGUUACUUUGAAUUUUCCGAUGUAGUAAAAAAGCCGGUAUUUAUGAGAUGAGGAUUAAUAUAAAUGGUUAUGUAAAACUAUGACGUUGAGGAUUAAUU